GACGAACGCUGGCGGCGUGCUUAACACAUGCAAGUCGAACGGAAAGGCCCUGCUUUUGUGGGGUGCUCGAGUGGCGAACGGGUGAGUAACACGUGAGUAACCUGCCCUUGACUUUGGGAUAACUUCAGGAAACUGGGGCUAAUACCGGAUAGGAGCUCCUGCUGCAUGGUGGGGGUUGGAAAGUUUCGGCGGUUGGGGAUGGACUCGCGGCUUAUCAGCUUGUUGGUGGGGUAGUGGCUUACCAAGGCUUUGACGGGUAGCCGGCCUGAGAGGGUGACCGGCCACAUUGCGACUGCGAUACGGCCCAGUCUCCUACGGGAGGCAGCAGUGGGGAAUAUUGCACAAUGGGCGGAAGCCUGAUGCAGCAACGCCGCGUGCGGGAUGACGGCCUUCGGGUUGUAAACCGCUUUCGCCUGUGACGAAGCGUGAGUGACGGUAAUGGGUAAAGAAGCACCGGCUAACUACGUG
rnacentral:rRNA from 1 species